GUGGAUAUAGCUCAGUGGUAGAGCACAUGCUUAGCAUCCACCAGGGCCUGGGAUCAAUCCCCAGUACCUCCA
rnacentral:tRNA from 1 species